CGCUACAACGCCGAAAUGCCUUUCUCACCCUGGUGUACUCACAAUGUUGCUUUGGCGGGUCGACCUGGUUCCGACCCAGGCGGCCGGCGCCCCCAGCCUUAACUGGCCAGGACGCCCGGUAAGUGCCCGCCCAGUAUACAAAACUCAAGAAUUCAUUUUGUGAAGUCCUGAUAUAUCCAUUUAAUUGAUUAAAACUUUCAACAACGAUCUCUUUGGUUCUGGCAUCGAUGAAGAACGCAGCGAAAUGCGAUAAGUAAUGUGAAUUGCAGAAUUCAGUGAAUCAUCGAAUCUUUGAACGCACAUUGCGCCCUCUGGUAUUCCGGAGGGCAUGCCUGUUCGAGCGUCAUUUCAACCCUCAAGCUCUGCUUGGUAUUGGGCAACGUCCGCUGCCGGACGUGCCUUGAAGACCUCGGCGACGGCGUCCUAGCCUCGAGCGUAGUAGUAAAAUAUCUCGCUUUGGAGUGCUGGGCGACGGCCGCCGGACAAUCGACCUUCGGUCUAUUUUUCCAAGG
rnacentral:rRNA from 1 species